AGCACUUAAUAAACAUUCAUGAAUAAGCAACAUUUUCAUUACUGUUAUCCACUUGUUAACUAUUGCUUUGUUCUCCUUCAAGCAAAGACAACGAACGCUUAAGGUGUUCAUAACAUUCAUUUAUCAAGAUUCAGAGUAAUGCAUCUGCCAAAGUGUAAUGUGGCUUUCUUUUUCUUCCUGAUCUGCUCUUCCAUUUACUGUGGAAAUGCAGAGGCACAUCAAGUUGCACUCUAUGUGCACAACAAAUGUCCCUAUCCAAUAUGGCCUGCAA